AUAUGUAUAAUAAUGUAUAGAGGUGUUAAUAUAUUCAUAUACAUUGUUUAUACAAACUGCUAUAUAGUUAUGAUUUUUAGACAAGAGGGGUUGCUCUGAUGGUAAGCAACCUCCACUUCCAACCGAGAGGUUGUGAGUUCGAGUCUCCCCAAGAGCAAGGUGGGAAGUUCUUGGAGGGAAGAUGUCGGGGGUCUAUUUGGAAACAGCCUCUCUACCCAAGGGUAGAGAUAAUGAUUGCGCACAUACUACCCUCCCCAGACCCCACUAUGUGAUAUUAUAUUGGAUUGUUGUUGUCGUUGUUGUUGCUGUUGCUGCCGUUGCUGUUGUUGUUGUUGUUGUUGUUGUUGUUGUUGUUGUUGUUGUUGUUGUUGUUGUUGUUGUUGUUAUUGUUGUUGUUGUAUAUAGUUAUGAUUUUUAUCCAAGCCUCGAGUUGUAGUGGAAGAUAUUAGACGAUUCAACUCGUCUAUAGGUUAGCAAUUUUGCGCCAACGAUUCAGAAUUCAAUGCACAUAUGCGAUACACCGAAUUUCAGAUUCGAGACUUCAAGGAGGACAAUACACAUAUCACAGAAAUCAAUAACUUGGAAAUUAAGAUUUCAAACUUCCGAUCUAGCUUUCAAAUCAAUAACUUGGGAAUCAAUGAUUUAGCCUCCGAUCUUUUCUCCUUGGAGCUCGACCAGAAAUUGGAAAUUAAGGUUUCAAACUGCAAAGAGUCAGAUCCAAAAAUCUUCAAUAUUCUUCUGCUUGCCACCAUGGACGACGGAGUAGGAGUCCGAGCCUUCUUUAAGCGAUUGAUGGCAAAAAUGCGUAGGGGGUAGCGGAGGGGAAAUAGCGGGGGCUAGGUUGAGAAAGGAUGUGAGAUCUAUGUGGGUUGGAAAUAAAGAAGCGAAAGGCGGUGAGAGAGAAUUUUGUGUGCUGGGAAUGAAGAACAAAGAAAAUAAUAAAAACCCUAAAAGUGUAUCUUUAAUACUGGCUAAAGACUGAAAAGUUUAUUUCAAGUUAUUUACAACAUAUCCUAAAUAGGGUAAGAGCUUCAAAUCUGGGCCAUAAUGUAAAUUUAUAGUAAUAUAGUAAGAUCUCUUUAUAAGAGCAUCCUUAUAUAAUAUAGUACCUCAUUAUAAAAGUCAAAAUUUUCCGUAUCCAAAUUUCAUAUUCCGUUAUAAUAUAUGUUCUCUAUAACAGUAAUAGUCUGUAACAUCCAAAAAUAUUUGAACCAUAUAAAACAUAUAAAGUUGUUUGAUUAUAUAUAAAAGUAUCUUAUAUCGUGUGGAUUUUUUUUUCUAUAUGUCAUAUCUAUUAACUCCUAUAAAAUCACAUCACUUGCGACAAACCAUAUUAAAAUUACAAAUUUUCAAAAUACAUUAAUAUAUCCGUCUUUGUUAUACAAACGAAGUAUUCUAUUACCUAAAAAUUAUUUGUAGAGUUUUCUUUGACCGACACACCAUUAGCAAUUUCAGAAAAUUAUUUGACAACCUUAAACAUUGUUGGUGCUAGCUUAUACUUUACACCUUUUAAUGUAUCUAUUUUGCUUUAAUAAAGAGACGAAAGCAUAUCAAAGAAGAUCUAAAUUAGUUACAAACUAUAUUGAAAUAUAAGAACUAUCGAAUAUUUCAUGUAAAACCAAGUUCUUGGUCAUGCUUUGCCUUAACAUAAUUGAUUUCUCGGACAAAAAAAAAAAGAUUUCUCGAACUUUCUACGCUCCAGCCUAUUUUUUAAUUGUAAUUUUCAGCUAAAAAGUAAUUCAGCACCCACGAUUUAAAUUUUUCUGAAUCCGUGGCUAGAUCUAUAACAUGAAAUUGUCUCACUUAAUCAAGGUUAGGUAGUAAUAUAUUUUCACCUAUUAAUCUGAGCUCAUAGCUGGACCUUGGAAUUCCAGAUCAGAUUCUUUGGCUCACAAAAGAAAAUUAACAAAACAAAUAGACCAAAACAAAAAUUGAACAACCUGACGGAAAGAAAACACAGCAAAACAAUCGAAGAGUGUAUUAAUUAGAUAAACCUGGUCAUUCAAAAAUUGGUGAUAUAAAUCGUUAAACAACAGUAUAAAGAAUGAGUUCAGUGCUAUCAAUUUUCGUCUUUGAAACAACCGCCCCAAAUCGAACCCCAGACACGUCUUCACUGCCGGAAACGCCAAUCUGGUGGUCGUGGUGGUGGUGGCCGCCGAAGAACUGGAGGUUGUAAAAAUCGCUAUGGUGAUCUUCCUCGUGUUUGCAGUUGCUAGGAGGAUGGUAAUACAUACGCGAUGUUUGAGGACAGUGAGAGUUGAAUCUCGCCACUAUUCUCGUCGCCGCGUCCAGCAACUCGACGUACUUCCCCAUUUUCCGAUAUAAGAAUAACGGGAAGUAUGAAAGGAAAAUGAGGAAGAAAGAGAAUGUGUUAGAAAGCGUCCCAAAUGUCGGAGCCCAUAAAAUUUGGGGCUUUGCUUUGCUUGACGUAAAUAUGAGCCGUGUGAGGGGUUAUUUAUAUACUGGGGUUUGGGGUUUGCUUUUUUACUUUUCUUUUCG
rnacentral:lncRNA from 1 species